rnacentral:rRNA from 1 species
CUAUUGGAAACGAUAGCUAAUACCGCAUAAUAGUAGUUGUUGCAUGACAACUGUUUGAAAGGUGCAAUUGCAUCACUACCAGAUGGACCUGCGUUGUAUUAGCUAGUUGGUGAGGUAACGGCUCACCAAGGCAACGAUACAUAGCCGACCUGAGAGGGUGAUCGGCCACACUGGGACUGAGACACGGCCCAG